rnacentral:misc_RNA from 1 species
AGUGAGUUGCGUCACUAGUCGAACAUUGUUCUCGGCUAAUGAGUGACAAUAUACUCGACGUCCAAGGCAAUGUGAGUCAACUUCCAAGUGGUGAGUUCGUUUUGGGUUUCCCGAAACGAAUGAUGAUCUGCGGCAACAUCGGGAAUUAUGCGGGGUUGACGAAAGUCGUGCCAUGUCUCGAUGUUGUUGACCCGUCUCCUGAUUUUGAAUCACUGGUUUCGUUUUUCGAUGAUAUUCGUUAAAAGAUGUGGCAUUGUUGCAUUUGCUGAUGAUUAUUGUUGAACGAUGAUGCUAGUGUUUCUUGGUAGCUCGUCUGUCUAAUGCGUUGUUGAUGAGCUUCGCCCAAUAGAAGGGGUGUCAUGUUGUUGAUCCUAGUUUCAAGCUUGCUAAGCUUAAACACAUGUAUCAUGGAUUAGUGACAGGUCAUCGCUUCUUUGGCUGAGAAGGUGUUCAAUGCGUUGGUAUUUGUGUUCUCGCAUCGUUCGGUGCUUCUGGGGCAUUUUGGCUAUCAGUUUCUUGCUUGGCCUUUGGGCUUGGUGGGUGGCUGUUAGUUGGGUGGUUCGGGGAUGUCUACGUAAAGGUACAUGAGUGGUUUUGGUUUGUACGGGGGUUGGUCUUUGCUUGCGAACAACUUCCCCUGGGAACCUCUUCA